rnacentral:lncRNA from 1 species
GCCCUUCUAGAGAGCCACCUUGUGCCUCUGCUCUUCUGCAGAUUCAGACUUAAAAAACUUCUGUUCAAUAGAGGAGGCCAAAGAAGGACUGAAUGCUGCUGACCCUCUGCCAGGGCUGCUGUGUUGGGUGUUGGUUUGAUUUGGGACUUGGUUCGGUUUUGGUUUUCUUUUCAUUCCCCCACCCCCCACCUCUCUGUCACAAACCUGUCUCUUUCCCGGUCACUGAGACAUGGGCUCCCCAUGCCCGGCAGAGAACCGGCUGGGAACAUACUUCCUUAAACAAGCGGCUGCACUCCUCCCGCUUGCUGCUGGCUGUGUGCUGUGAACCAAGUAACGCAUGCAGAAUAGCCGAGUGCAUGCAGAAUGUGAAACGGCAGGGCGAGUGUGAAACGCAAGGAGACCCCCACUCACUCC